rnacentral:rRNA from 1 species
UAAUAUACUAUUUUAGUGUGGAGUGAAUGCCUUGGAAGAAAAAUAUAGGCGCGGACAAUCGCGAAAGUGUUGACACGAGGAAAGCCUGUGACGUCAACCAACCUAAAAUGGGAAACCGGGGCUAAAAAGCCCGCUGCUUAGGCAGUAUCAAGGGGAAGUGAAACAUCUCAGUACCCUGUAGACCAAAUCAACCGAGAUAUCGUUAGUAGUGGUGAGCGAAAGCGAUAAAAAGGCAAAACGAAAAUUUUAUUAUUAAGAAUGAAAAGAAGUUUUGUUUUUCAAUGAAAUUUCUACCUUAGAAGGUGUUAGUCCUGUAAUUCUUUUUUUUUUCGUGAAAGUAAGACGAGGCAAGUUUACCUUGUCUGAGUAUUGGGGGACCACCCUCAAAGCCUAUAGUUAUUUUUCUUACCGAUAGUGAACAAGUACCGUGAGGGAAAGGUGAAAAAGAAGUUGCGACAGUGCAAAGAUCCUGAAACUCCAUAUUUGAGUCGGAGCUAUAAAAAGCAACGGCAUACCUUUUGUAUAAUGGGCAAGUGAAUCUUAAUAAAGGGCAAGCUUAAGCUAAUAAAAGUGUAGGCGAAGAGAAAUCGAGUCCUAUGUGGCAUCCUAAAGUCCUUUGUUAAGUACCCGAAACCGGCUGAUCUAAACUUGAGCAGGCUGAUAUUGUAGUGGCAACAUUCUUUGGAGGGCCGAACCCGUGUAUGUGGCAAAAUACUGGGAUGACUUGAGUUUAGGGGUGAAAGGCCAAUCAAAGUCGGUGAUAGCUGGAUUUCUGCGAAAUCUAUUGAAGUAGAGCGUCCUAAACAGUAAAUCUGGGGUAGAGCACUGUAUAAGCAAGGGGGAGAUCUUCUCUUACUAAACUUUGGCAAACUCCGAAUACAGAUUUUUCAUUUAGGGCAGACAGAGUAUGUAUGCUAAGAUUCAUACUCAAGAGGGAAACAGCCCAGACUGUAGGCUAAGGUCCACAAAAUAGUUUCAGUGGUAAAGGUGAUAUCUGCUCUGAGACCGUCAGGAGGUAGGCUUGGAAGCAGCCAUCCUUUUAAGACAGCGUAACAGCUCACUGACCUAGAGUAGAAGUCCCGCCAAUUUUGAGGGCUUAAAACUAUUACCGAAGCCUCAGACAAAAAUGUUAAGAUAAUUAAAAACUCUUAUAUUUUGUGGUAGCAGAACAUUCCGUAGGUCGUAGAAGUUUUGACGUAAGUUAAGAUCAAGAUAUCGGAAGCGAGAAUACUUGCAUGAGUAGCAUAAAACAAUGAAAUUAAAGCAUUGUGGCCGUAAGUCCAAGGUUUACGAUCUUAAGUAAAACUGGGUCGUGAGAGGGUAACACCUCGAUUUAAAACGGUCCCUAAGCUGUUAAGCCAAAGCUUGUAGUAAUGGGUAAGAUUAAACUGUUAAAAGUUGCUGACGAAAAAUUCACCUUAUUCUUGAAUUUGUCAAGAGUGAGUUAUUUUUUCCAAGAAAAAGGCACUUUAUUUAUACCGUACCUUAAACCGCCUCAGGUGGACGGGUGGAGAACACUAAGGCCUUGAGAUAACCCUGUUGAAGGAACUCGGCAAAAUGACUCUGUAACUUCGGAAUAAGGAGUAAAGACAUGUAGCGCAAGCUUUUGUCUUUGUCACAAAAUCGGGGGUGGCGACUGUUUAUUAAAAACACAGGUCUCUGCUAACUCGCAAGAGGAUGUAUAGGGACUGACACCUGCCCGGUGCCGGUAGGUGAAGCUUUGAUGUUUACGCAUUGAGGUCAAACCCCGGUAAACGGCGGCUGUAACUAUGACGGUCCUAAGGUAGCGAAAUUCCUUGUCGGGUAAGUUCCGACCCGCAUGAAUGGUGUAACGACUUCCCCGCUGUCUCCAACAGGGACUCAGUGAAAUUACAUAGGUCGUGAAGAUGCGACCAUCCCACAGCUGGACGGAAAGACCCCGUGCACCUUUACUAUAAGCAAAUAUUGUAGGUCAAAGACUCUAGUGUAGAAUAGGUGGGAGCUUAUGAUUCUUUCUCGUCAGAGUCUGAUGAGGCGAUAGUGAAAUACCACCCCGAGAUCUGUUGGCUUACUAACUAAGGGACAGUGUUUGCUGGGUAGUUUGACUGGGGCGGUCGCCUCCUAAAGAGUAACGGAGGCAUACAAAGGUAGGUUCAUCUCCUUCUAAGGGGAAUUGAGUAUAAUGGUAUAAACCUGCUUGACUGAAAGAAAGACAUUUCGAUCAGAGACGUAAGUCGGUCAUAGUGAUCCGGUGGUUCUUUGUGGAAAGGCCAUCGCGCAAUGGAUAAAAGGUACGCCGGGGAUAACAGGCUAAUGAUCCUCUAGAGCCCCUAUCGACGGGUUCGUUUGGCACCUCGAUGUCGACUCAUCACAUCCUGGAGCUGGAAAAGGUUCCAAGGGUUCGGCUGUUCGCCGACGAAAGUGGUACGUGAGUUGGGUUUAGAACGUCGUGAGACAGUUUGGUCCCUAUCUUCUGUGGGUGUUUGAAAAUUCCGAGGACUAGACCUUAGUACGAGAGGACCGGGAAAACUCGAUCCCUUGUGUUCCGGUUGUUCCCUAAGGGGCAUCGCCGGGUAGCUACAUCGAGAAGAGAUAAUCGACCGUUAGGCGAGAAACUCUCCUCUAGUAAAGUUUUCUAAAGGGGGUGGAAGAUUACCACUUUGAUAGGCGGGAGGUGUAAGAGCUGUAAGGUUUUCAGCUGACCCGUACUAAUCCCUAUAAAAAUAAAAUUAUAUAGUUUUUGC